rnacentral:lncRNA from 1 species
GAUCAAAGCCUUUAGGCCUGUGUGCCUCCCCUAAUGUCUGUGCUCAUCUAUGUCAGCUGAGUGUGUGCAUUAGCAUGCCAUUCAUGUGCUGCCUUCCUGGGAGUCACAGAGGAGGAAAUGCAUCAAUCUUCUGUGGCCUGGGUCUUGUGCUCUGCAGAUCAGAGCAACCUUUGUGGAGAGCCAGAUGCUGCCUGUGAGCUGAGCUUGCCAGGGGAGAAUAAAUCUCACACCUACACCACUCCAGAGAGCGCGACCAAGCCUGCAAGAAGGCAGCACCAGCACAAAACCUGAGAGAUGCAGACGCAGUCCUGAGGGUGCAAUGUCAGGGCUGCUGGUGUUUGCCUGAAGGCUGACUCAGACUGAGCUGAUGCCCAGGUGAAAGAGCUCAUGUAUCCACUUCAG